rnacentral:rRNA from 1 species
GAUGAACGCUAGCGGCAGGCCUAACACAUGCAAGUCGAGGGGUAGAGGAAGCUUGCUUCCUUGAGACCGGCGCACGGGUGCGUAACGCGUAUGCAAUCUACCUUUUACAGAGGGAUAGCCCAGAGAAAUUUGGAUUAAUACCUCAUAGUAUAUAUCAUUCGCCUGUUUGAUAUAUUAAAGUUCCAACGGUAAAAGAUGAGCAUGCGUCCCAUUAGUUAGUUGGUAUGGUAACGGCUUACCAAGACGAUGAUGGGUAGGGGUCCUGAGAGGGAGAUCCCCCACACUGGUACUGAGACACGGACCAGACUCCUACGGGAGGCAGCAGUGAGGAAUAUUGGUCAAUGGACGCAAGUCUGAACCAGCCAUGCCGCGUGCAGGAAGACGGUCCUAUGGAUUGUAACUGCUUUUGUACGGGAAGAAACACUCCUACGUGUAGGAGCCUGACGGUACCGUAAGAAUAAGGAUCGGCUAACUCCGUGCCAGCCGCCGCCGUAAAAC